rnacentral:lncRNA from 1 species
UCAACUCUAGCAAGGGACAAUUCACAGUGAGAGUUUUCUCUGCUGGAGCACUGUAGGGAAAGGACAAUGCAUAUUAAAUAAGAUCAAAAUUCAGAUGAAACGUUGAAGUUGUGCCCUCUGGGGAAAGCUGGCAGCAGAAAUCCUAGAGUGUGAGCAGGUAACUUUGAGGUUGUUUUUCCUGCAAUUUUCAAGGCCUCAAUUUUGUUAUUCACGUGUAUGCUUCUUGAAUUAUGGAAAAAGCCUGUAAGACAACACAUCCUUUUUUUUGUGCAAAACAUCCUUCUGUGGAGGUAGAUAAGGCAUCAAAACUGUAUUUUUAUUUGCAAAUGUAGCAACAAUAUACUGAUUUGAUGUACUUUUUCUAGGGUGUUCUGGACAAAGAAAGCUUGUACCUUAAAACAGGAGGAUACAAGAAGCUGGAGUGGUUGUUUGAAGGCUUUUGAACUGCUUGACACAUUAGUGUAGCUUUGGUGCUUUUGUGACUGAUCAUCUCUGGAGCUUUUGUGAAUGAUCUAGCUAGCUAUCUGUA